rnacentral:rRNA from 1 species
UACGUAGGUGGCAAGCGUUAUCCGGAAUUAUUGGGCGUAAAGCGCGCGUAGGCGGUUUUUUAAGUCUGAUGUGAAAGCCCACGGCUCAACCGUGGAGGGUCAUUGGAAACUGGAAAACUUGAGUGCAGAAGAGGAAAGUGGAAUUCCAUGUGUAGCGGUGAAAUGCGCAGAGAUAUGGAGGAACACCAGUGGCGAAGGCGACUUUCUGGUCGUGUAACUGACGCUGAUGUGCGAAAGCGUGGGG